rnacentral:lncRNA from 1 species
GAAAAAGCACAGUAGCAAGAUCAAACAGAUGGUGCUAUGCGGCUGGAAUUCUGCAAUGUAUCUUUCGUCGUAGAGAUGAAAACUUUGUGACAAAAGGUUUAUGCAGCAAUAUAGGAACAGUUUUUUUUUUUGGAUUUUCGAAUAAGGAUAACUAAAUUGCAACAGCAGUAAGGUAGGAAACCAGAACCUGUUGCAAUUCACGGGGAG